GCACCCACCUAUCUCCACAAACAGGACUGGGCAUUAAGCUGGAAACACACACUCACACACUAGUAUGCUUUACACACUUUUCAAAUGAGUCAUAGGAGCAGAAUAGUCAUAGAGGCAGGUCCAUCUCACUCUUACAUAUACUCUUACACAUAACGACAGCAGCUUCUACUACGGGACAUUUUUUAUUGUUAUCCUGUUAUAUUAGACAUACAUACAUACACAGACAUCUGUACAAGUACAUUAAUUACUUACAUAAACAUAAACUAAAACUAAAACGUCAUUGGAUGAAAAAAUGGAUUUCCUCCUAUAUUCCCUGAUGUUUCUGCCUCUCCUGUAUAUUUCAGCAGCGUCCCAACCUACGUCAUCGCAAAAAACAAUCCUGUCAAGUCCUGCGACUGAGAAAAUAACCACAAGUACCGUGAGAAGAGAAGGGGAUCCAGGAGCCACUGUAACUUCAACCCCACGCGUCAAUACAACAGGAAUACUGAUGAGCAUCCACUCUACAACAUCAACAUCACAGAGAUCCACAAGAAGCCCAGGUUCUCCACCAGAUGAGGCAAUAACUUCUACUCCGCAUCAAUCUAGCUCCAGCUCAAGUCCACAGUUGUCAAGGGCAACAACACAAGCCCUAUCUCCGGAGGAAAAUGCAAUGGACUCAUUAUUAUCUUCUUCUCCUUCUCCGACUACACAGCCGGGAAGCAGCCUCACCAUGGUGGCCUUUGGAGUGAUGACCUUCAUUCUCAUCCUAAUCAUCAUCAUGGUGAUUUUGGUGGCAACUGUAAAUAUGAAAGGGCAGUGCAAUAACAACGAGGGAAAAGAUAAAAAAAGUUGGGAAUCUGUCAUUGAGAGCAAUGUUACAACCAGUGGAGAGAAAGAGAGCAUUACACUAGUCUCUAUGAGGACAAUUAACACAGAAACUGAUACAGAUUCUCCUCGUCUUUCGUCCGUCCAUAGCACCAUAUUAGACAAUGACGAACUAGAGGUCUACAGAGAUUAACUCACAUCAGAGGCUGAACUUACUUUUGCUGGGUGAAAACAAGAAGAGUCUGCAGCAACACCAGACCAAAUCAGUUUUGUAAAAAAAAAAAAAAUCCCUCUGUAUUAGGCUACUGAUGAGUAUUUCCAUUAAUGUAGUUGAUUGUUUUGUCUCUUUGUGUUAUUAAUGCAACGAUAGGACUUGGGUAUGCUGUUGUAUAGGGGUGAAGUCCAGUAAAUUGGGCCACUUUUUCGGUCAAAUGUGCAUGAAAACCAAAAUCCACUCAACUCACCUCUACAAUUUUGUUGAAAAUAGGAAGCAAAAGUAAGUUUUAAAAUAAUGUUUUAAGCUCAACAGCUGUUUAUGCACAGAAUGUCUGCCUUCUGAGUCAACAUGUUGCGUAUCUGGUCAAAUGGACCAUGCAUCAGGCUAAAAUGGACCAUUGAAAUUAAACAGAAGUUUGCAUAAUUCUAAUAAAUGAAAUUAAAACUUGUUUAUUGUAUUCA
rnacentral:lncRNA from 1 species